GAUGAACGCUGGCGGCGUGCCUAAUACAUGCAAGUCGAGCGAACGGACGAGAAGCUUGCUUUUCUGAUGUUAGCGGCGGACGGGUGAGUAACACGUGGAUAACCUACCUAUAAGACUGGGAUAACUUCGGGAAACCGGAGCUAAUACCGGAUAAUAUUUUGAACCGCAUGGUUCAAAAGUGAAAGACGGUCUUGCUGUCACUUAUAGAUGGAUCCGCGCUGCAUUAGCUAGUUGGUAAGGUAACGGCUUACCAAGGCAACGAUGCAUAGCCGACCUGAGAGGGUGCUAGGCCACACUGGAACUGCGCCACGGUCCAGACUCCUACGGGAGGCAGCAGUAGGGAAUCUUCCGCAAUAGGCGAAAGCCUGACGGAGCAAAGCCGCGUGAGUGAUGAAGGUCUUCGGAUCGUAAAACUCUGUUAUUAGGGAAGAAAAUAUAUGUAAGUAACUGUGCACAUCUUGACGGUACCUAAUCAGAAAGCCACGGCUAACUACGUG
rnacentral:rRNA from 1 species